GCACUACGCCACCAUCUCUGAGUCCAACAUCCCCGCCGAGCUCUUCCCGUAGUGCCCCACUAUCAAUCGCUCCCUCCUGGAUCCACGUCUUCGAGUUCAAUCCAUGCUAGUCACCGCCCAGUCAACACCACAAGAGGAUCCCCAUGCCUUCCUACCCACCAUCUCCCCAGAUCACCACUCUGCAUCCUCCUUCGCCCGACAAAUCCUUCCAUCGUUGGCCUCAUCGAACCUCACCCCGACCGCAAUCUUGUGGGUUCCGCCCCUCAACAGGUUGCCAUGCCGCCAUCAGGAUCUGCAUCGGGCUACUGCUAGUGCUUCGUGCACCUCCUUUGCGCCACCCUCCAUGGUUCCGUGGUUGUGUGCCUCCCGAUGCUCUGCCUCGUUGCUCCUCAACCUCAUCACGGCCAAAUCGGCCUCCGCAGGGCAUCAUGUGUUCCUCUCGAUCCUUCAAGUGCAGGCGACGUCGAGGAGUAGCGCAGCCAUGGACGCGGUCCACACCCUACAUGAUCCACCGCGCCGCCACCCACCCCUUUAGUUGACUGAGUGCUGACUUAAAGACGAAAGAAGUUAGCAAGGACAUUUGGAGAUUACAACAUCCACUAAGCUCAAGAGGGCUCGCACUCCAUUGAAUGACCUAACCAACACCACAAACGGUAAUGUUUAUAUCAACUACUAUUGUCUAAAGGUCCCUUCUCAUACUAAACAACUAAAUAGAUUUCCUGCUUUGACUUCUUAUGAUGACACAAGUUGCUUGUGUGUGUACAUGGAAGCUUCCCUUGCAAAUGCUUCGUAUGUGUCUACUCUUCCAUGAAAGUGUGGUGUCGGGGAUAGCUUUUGGCCUGGUAAAGGUUUGCCGAGAUCAAAAGAGACAUAGAUGAGAUGCAUAUCAACAGGAAAGGAAGAUUCUGUAUGAAUAGUCUGGGAUUAAGAAUGCUUUUCAUAAUUUCAUUUUAUCCAUUGUAUACCUAUGCAGGAGAUGGAGAAACCUCUGAUUCUUAUCAUGACAAGAAAAUCGCAAACAUGAAUUCACUCCUUCCAAUAUUAGAAAUUUCUAUCAAGAAUCGCAUGCAACUUCUCAUUGUUGCUGAGGAUGUAGGAGAAGCUCUGGUAGUGCUUGUACUGAACAAGCAUCGUGCUGGUCCUGAUAUUUAGCACACCGAAGUGCUCAUAUAAGCUAUUGGGCUAUACUCUUGCAUGGAAGUAUGUGCUAUCAAAACUCCUAGAUUUGGUGAUAACAUAAGGGACAAUCUGGAUGAUAUGGCUAUGUUGACUGGAGGAGAGGUUUGCUAUUAUCGACCAAUAACCAAUGAUUAUAGAAUUUCUUAACACAGACUACAUUGAAAUUGACUUUUAUAUUUUAUUUUAAUUUGAAGGUUGUUAGCGAGGAACAAGGUCUUGAUCUUGAUAAAGUCUAACUACAAAUGCUUGACUUUUAUAUUUCAUUUUAAUUUGAAGGUUGUUAGCGAGGAACAAGGUCUUGAUCUUGAUAAAGUCUAACUACAAAUGCUUGGCAUUGCUAAAAAUGUUUGUCAGUUUCAUAAAUUGUUUCACUUGAGAUCCAAACAGUGACAUCCUCCUUCA